UACGGGGGGGGCAAGCGUUGUUCGGAAUUACUGGGCGUAAAGGGCUCGUAGGCGGCCAACUCAGUCGGACGUGAAAUCCCUCGGCUUAACCGGGGAACUGCUUCCGAUACUGGAUGGCUUGAGUGUGGGAGAGGGAUGCGGAAUUCCAGGUGUAGCGGUGAAAUGCGUAGAUAUCUGGAGGAACACCGGUGGCGAAGGCGGCAUCCUGGACUACUACUGACGCUGAGGAGCGAAAGCCAGGGAGCAAACGGG
rnacentral:rRNA from 1 species